UCCUAAUUAGCAUUCUUCACUUGGUCGAUUGAACGUUUACAGAGUUGGCUUGAAAUGAUGGACGACUAAAAAGAAACGACAAGUUUCAUGUUUACUGUAAUCGCGUGUUUAUGUGAGAUCUGAACUUUAGAAAUUGAUGAGCAUUAGUUUUUUUUUAUGACAUUUAGAAUUUAAUGAGGAAUUGAACGAAUAUGGUAUGGUAAGGAACGACUGAUGACAUAUUGGUACAUCUAACAGAUCGAGUAAGUUUUGAGCCUACCACGUCUUGUCGUGACAUCAACAUCACCCAUGAUCGCGUUAUAGUAAAGUUCACUUCCGGGUUAGAGGUCAUGUGUGACACCAAGACAGACGGUGGGGGAUGGAUCAUCAUUCAUAGAAGAAUCAACGGAAAAGUAGAUUUCUAUAGAAACUGGAAGGAGUAUCGUGACGGCUUUGGAGAUUACAACAUUGGGGAAUUUUAUUUGGGGAAUGAAAAUAUUUUGAAGUUAACUUCUACUGGACAAUAUGAUUUAAGAAUAGAUUUAGAAAUUUAACAACAAGACAUACUUUGCGCAAUACAGAGACUUUAAAGUAUUAAGUGAGUCUGAGAAAUAUAAGCUACCUCUAGGAUUUUUUUUUAGAAAACAGUUCUGAUAAGUUACCAUAUCAUAACAACGAGUUCUUUACGACUUUUGAUAGUGAUAACUACAGGGAUAGUGAAAAUAGUGCAAAAAAGGUUUAAGGGUGCCUGGUGGUAAAAGUCCUGUUGUCAAGAGCACGGGUGUGUAAGAUUUGAGAUAUUGUGUGUUUGAUCUGGUCUUGGUCAGAAUUGUGUUUUGAAGGGGAUGCAUUUUUCAUGUAUUGUAUCCGGGUAAUGUUUGCGCUUUCAUUGACUAAUUACUUAUUACUGAUGAUCUAGAUUGUAUGUUACUUAGCGAUAUAUGUUUUUGGUACAUUUUAAACCAAUUAAGAAUUAUUGAGAACGAUUUGUAUAGCACAUGAGAAUCUUGUAAAUAAAGUCUGAUAUAUUAUAA
rnacentral:sRNA from 1 species